AUUUCAAAAAAAGAAGCCGCAGCUCUCUCUCUUUAUACCUCUCUCUAACCAUCACGUCGUCGGUCAAAAAAAGAAGCCGCAGCCACCACCACACCGAUCAUCGUGGCUGGUGAAACGCCGGAGCAGUCGCGACCCAUCGCCAGCCUCCUCUCUCUGAUCUCCCGUUUUCAGCCGUGGCUCCAGCCGGCGGAACCAUCAAGAACCGCCGCUAACGUCGCUACCCACCAGCCACUGCUCCAACGUCGACUCCCUCUCUAUCACUUUAGAAGUUCAAGUUCAACAUGGAUGGUGAACAAAAAAGAAUGGGAAGUUUUAAGUUUAUUUAUUUAACUGUGGAAUCGUUGUUGAUGUAAUUAAGACUGGUGGAAUUAGGUUGUUAUCUAGUAUACAACUCUUUUAUGUUUGAUGUUUAAGCUUAGGUUGUCUACUUGUAUUUGGAUGUAAAUAACCGAAUUGAUCUAAUGCAAUUUGAAUUUCAAGAUCAAA